CAGUAGCCGCGGUAAUACGUAGGUGGCAAGCGUUAUCCGGAAUUAUUGGGCGUAAAGCGCGCGUAGGCGGUUUCUUAAGUCUGAUGUGAAAGCCCACGGCUCAACCGUGGAGGGUCAUUGGAAACUGGGAAACUUGAGUGCAGAAGAGGAAAGUGGAAUUCCAUGUGUAGCGGUGAAAUGCGCAGAGAUAUGGAGGAACACCAGUGGCGAAGGCGACUUUCUGGUCUGUAACUGACGCUGAUGUGCGAAAGCGUGGGGAUCAAACAGGAUUAGAUACCCGCGUAGUCCCUGUCUCUUAUAA
rnacentral:rRNA from 1 species